rnacentral:rRNA from 1 species
AGUGAACGCUGGCGGUAGGCCUAACACAUGCAAGUCGAACGGCAGCACAGUAAGAGCUUGCUCUUACGGGUGGCGAGUGGCGGACGGGUGAGGAAUACAUCGGAAUCUACUUUUUCGUGGGGGAUAACGUAGGGAAACUUACGCUAAUACCGCAUACGACCUACGGGUGAAAGCAGGGGAGCUUCGGACCUUGCGCGAUUGAAUGAGCCGAUGUCGGAUUAGCUAGUUGGCGGGGUAAAGGCCCAACAAGGCGACGAUCCGUAGCUGGUCUGAGAGGAUGAUCAGCCACACUGGAACUGAGACACGGUCCAGACUCCUACGGGAGGCAGCAGUGGGGAAUAUUGGACAAUGGGCGCAAGCCUGAUCCAGCCAUACCGCGUGGGUGAAGAAGGCCUUCGGGUUGUAAAGCCCUUUUGUUGGGAAAGAAAAGCAGCAGGUUAAUACCCCGCUGUUCUGACGGUACCCAAAGAAUAAGCACCGGCUAACUUCGUG